UACGGAGGGGGCGAGCGUUAUUCGGAAUUAUUGGGCGUAAAGGGCGCGUAGGCGGCCCGGUAAGUCAAAGGUGAAAUCCCUCGGCUCAACUGAGGAACUGCCUUUGAAACUGUCGGGCUUGAGGCCGGGAGAGGGUAGUGGAAUUCCCAGUGUAGCGGUGAAAUGCGUAGAUAGUUGGGAGGAACACCAGUGGCGAAGGCGGCUACCUGGACCGGUUCUGACGCUGAGGCGGCGAAAAGCGUGGGUAGCAAACCAGG
rnacentral:rRNA from 1 species